CCUACGGGGGGCAGCAGUGAGGAAUAUUGGUCAAUGGGCGAGAGCCUGAACCAGCCAAGUCGCGUGAGGGAGUACUGCCCUAUGGGUUGUAAACCUCUUUUGUCGGGGAGCAAAAGCCGGACGUGUCCGGCUGUGAGAGUACCCGAAGAAAAAGCAUCGGCUAACUCCGUGCACGCAGCCGCGGUAAUACGGAGGAUGCGAGCGUUAUCCGGAUUUAUUGGGUUUAAAGGGUGCGCAGGCGGAUUUUUAAGACAGCGGUAAAAUCGUGGGGCUCAACCCCAUCCAGCCGUUGAAACGUGGGAUCUAGAGUGUGCGAGAGGUAUGCGGAAUGCGUGGUGUAGCGGUGAAAUGCAUAGAUAUCACGCAGAACCCCGAUUGCGAAGGCAGCAUACCGGUGCACAACUGACGCUCAGGCACGAAAGCGUGGGUAUCGAACAGGAUUAGAUACCCUGGUAGUC
rnacentral:rRNA from 1 species